rnacentral:rRNA from 2 species
UGGGGAAUAUUGCACAAUGGAGGGAACUCUGAUGCAGCGACGCCGCGUGAACGAAGAAGGCUUUCGAGUCGUAAAGUUCUUUUAUAUGGGAAGAUAAUGACGGUACCAUAAGAAAAAGCCCCGGCUAACUACGUGCCAGCAGCCGCGGUAAUACGUAGGGGGCUAGCGUUGUCCGGAAUCACUGGGCGUAAAGGGUUCGCAGGCGGAAAUGCAAGUCAGGUGUAAAAGGCAGUAGCUUAACUACUGUAAGCAUUUGAAACUGCAUAUCUUGAGAAGAGUAGAGGUAAGUGGAAUUUUUAGGGUAGCGGUGAAAUGCGUAGAUAUUAAAAAGAAUACCGGUGGCGAAGGCGACUUACUGGGCUCAUUCUGACGCUGAGGAACGAAAGCGUGGGUAGCAAACAGG